rnacentral:rRNA from 1 species
UACGUAGGUCCCGAGCGUUGUCCGGAUUUAUUGGGCGUAAAGCGAGCGCAGGUGGUUUAUUAAGUCUGGUGUAAAAGGCAGUGGCUCACCCAUUGUAUGCAUUGGAAACUGGUAGACUUGAGUGCAGGAGAGGAGAGUGGAAUUCCAUGUGUAGCGGUGAAAUGCGUAGAUAUAUGGAGGAACACCGGCGGCGAAAGCGGCUCUCUGGCCUGUAACUGACACUGAGGCUCGAAAGCGUGGGGAGCAAACAGG